rnacentral:tRNA from 3 species
GGCUGGAUAGCAAAAUGGUUAUGCCGCGGAUUGCAAAUCCGCUGACGCCGGUUCGAUUCCGGCUCCAGCCUCCA